UACAGAGGGUGCGAGCGUUAAUCGGAAUUACUGGGCGUAAAGGGCUCGUAGGCGGCCAACUAAGUCAGACGUGAAAUCCCUCAGCUUAACUGGGGAACUGCGUCUGAUACUGGAUGGCUUGGAUUCGGGAGAGGAAUGCGGAAUUCCAGGUGUAGCGGUGAAAUGCGUAGAUAUCUGGAGGAAUACCGAUGGCGAAGGCAGGUCUCUGGGCUGACACUGACGCUCAUGCACGAAAGCGUGGGGAGCAAACAGG
rnacentral:rRNA from 1 species